CAGUAGCCGCGGUAAUACAGAGGGUGCAAGCGUUAAUCGGAAUUACUGGGCGUAAAGCGCGCGUAGGUGGUUUGUUAAGUUGAAUGUGAAAUCCCCGGGCUCAACCUGGGAACUGCAUCCAAAACUGGCAAGCUAGAGUAGGGCAGAGGGUGGUGGAAUUUCCUGUGUAGCGGUGAAAUGCGUAGAUAUAGGAAGGAACACCAGUGGCGAAGGCGACCACCUGGGCUCAUACUGACACUGAGGUGCGAAAGCGUGGGGAGCAAACAGGAUUAGAUACCCCGGUAGUCCCUGUCUCUUAUAC
rnacentral:rRNA from 1 species